rfam:Triticum aestivum genome assembly, contig: Triticum_aestivum_CS42_TGACv1_scaffold_643629_T_7BL-0.167311_2BL-0.091971
AUCAUACUCCCUCCGUUCGAAAUUACUUGUCACAAAAAUGGAUAAAAAUGGAUGUAUCUACGACUAGAAUACAUCUAGAUACAUUCAUUUCUUGGACGAGUAAUUCCGAACGGAGGGAGUACAUG